AAAUCAGUCUAUUUUACGAACUUUGAUUUUAGACAUACCAGUUACGCUUUUUUAUUAUAACAAGAAAGCAGUAAGAUUUCAAUUAAAAAUUCAAGUAAUAAAAAACUGAUUUUUGCUAAUCAAUCUGGAAAAGGUUACAGAGUCAAAGUGGAUGAAAUAAACUAAAUUUAAAAGUAGUUUGUUUUCGACAGCUCGAUUACCUAACAAAGAUCGCUUAUUAGCAUGUCAUUAAAAUAUUAAACACUAUAACGAUCAUUAGGUUGAGCUUGUUAACCAUAGUUAUCAUAGCUUUUGCUUUGUAAUUAAUAUCAUGCCAAUAUUUCCUCUUAUAAAAACGGGAAUUUUCGAACAAAUAAUGUACAUACUAUGGGAUAAACAGUCAUCUACUCAAAGAUAUUUUUAUAACAUUGAGCUUUAGCGUAGUUGAUGCCUAAGAUCAAACAAAGUAAUGACUUAUGGGAAUUUUGAGGAAGUAAACAUUUGAAGUAUCUGUUUAAGUGCUUCUUCUAAAAUUCUUUAUUGCCUGCCUUCUUUCAGAAUACAAAGUAUCGCCUUAACAAUUCACUUCGGUUUUACUAUUUGAAUGGUGUUCGCUUAGAUGAGCUUAAAAAUUUUAUAGAGUUUAUUAAUUUAAGGCCUUUACUGCGUAUGAAGAUAGUUUUUCUUUUUCUUUUUUUUUUUUAAGCUAAUGGCAUCAGUUUAUAUUUCUGAGCCAACUUACUACCCUUUUUUUUAAAGUAAUUAGUGAAAAUUUAAAAUAUCAUUCAUGAAUUCACAUGCUAAAAUAGCGAAUACAUAUGCCUUAUUUUAUCUACUAAGAAGCUUUCAAAGUUCUUAACUCAAACAUUUCAGUAUUCCUUAUUAUCACGUUUUAAG